UUGGAAACACGCCAUGUGUCCACUGAGAGGGACAGGCAAGAUGACAGAGGGCCGGGGCCGCGGCUGCUCGCACCGGCAGGAGCUCAUGGGGCCCGCCUCCCAGCCACAGUGCGGACGAGCAGGAGAUCACGGGCCUCCCAAGCGAGGAGAGAGGCUCCGAAAUGAAUUGCUCGCGUCCGAUGGCACGGCGGUGGGCAGAGGCAGGCCACGUGGCUCCCACGUCCACUUGGCGCUCCUAGCCUACAAAGACGUUGCUGAACUUGAAGCCAGAGAGGCCAAGUGACUCGUCUAAGGGAGCCAGUGAGUCGGGAGGACCUAAGAGGAAGGAGGUGUCCGCUUCCCUGGCCAGUCUGUGGUCCCGGUCACUCACUGAAGAAAAAGAGCCGUGGCGGGAACGUGGCCGGGGACGUGGCUCCGGGCCCUUGCUCUCCCUCGGUCUCCUUCCCACUCGGGCCGGCAGCAGCACCCGUGGCUUUGAGCCCCGGCCAGUGGGCGCCUGGAGCUGCGCACACCCAGCCCCUGCCUCCCUACCAGUGACAGGGCCCCACCGUAGCCGCCGACCCCUACAAGCGAGGCUUUCGAGUCCCUCGAGUCCCUCCCUGGCGGCUGUUCCGAGGGAGGGUCAGGGACACUCAACGAGGCUCAUCGGAAUGUAGUGCCCGGAGGGAAAACGCCUGAGACGUCCUUGCUGCUCUUUCUGGGAGCGGAGGAUUGUUCCAUUGUUCAUCCUCUCUGCUGACUAGAAUGGGGAGGGUCAUGAGCAGAGUGGCCCUGGGGGUGGCCUGGCCCCUGCAGCUUCUGACCCACCCCGGGGACUGUGCACACUCAGCUCCCUGGCUUGACAAGGGGAGCUGCCAGACUCAGCAAAUAAAAAUAUAAGAUUCUGCGUGGGA